AAGUAAGAAAGCAAUGGUUUGGAUAAAAGGCCUUAAAUCAGACUCCAGUAACGCAGCAAAUGUCACUUGAAAGAGAAGGAUUCGUGAAAAAGGAGGGGGGAUACGAGAAAGCAAUUUAAGGACAAUUCAGAAAUAAAUGAGGGCUCCUUUCCAUACGGCAAAGCAAUCUUAACAAAUGAGAGAAUGAACCUGCCGAUAUAUUAGCUUUAACCGCAGGGAAGAGUUUUAGGUUACAAGGGAUAAGAAUGUCAAUUACCACACUUUUAUCCUUUAUGUUCUUUCAUAAAUGAUACCAUCUAUUAUUGAAGAUCAAAUGGGGACAUUUUCCUUUAAAAAGUCUCCUUGUGCUUACUCUUGCCAAUCUUUACUCCGUCUUG